rnacentral:rRNA from 1 species
CCCUUAGAUGUUCUGGGCCGCACGCGCGCUACACUGUUCGACGCAGCGAGUCUUAACCUUGACCGAAAGGUUUGGGUAAUCUUCAGCAAAGUCGAACGUGAUGGGGAUCGAUCAUUGCAAUUAUUGAUCGUGAACGAGGAAUUCCUAGUAAGUGCAAGUCAUCAGCUUGCGUUGAUUACGUCCCUGCCCUUUGUACACACCGCCCGUCGCUACUACCGAUUGAAUGGUUUAGUGAGAUCUCUGGAUUGACGCUGGCUAGGGGGCGACCCUUGGCCAGACUGUUGAGAAACUGCUCAAACUUGAUCAUUUAGAGGAAGUAAAAGUCGUAACA